rnacentral:tRNA from 1 species
GUAAUGGUAGCGAAGUGGCUAACGCACGGUCCCGGGUAGGCGUGAGACGCGGGUUCGAAUCCCGCCUGAGAUG